rnacentral:rRNA from 1 species
CGUGUAGGCGGCCAGACAGGUCCGUUGUGAAAACUGGAGGCUUAACCUCCAGACGUCGAUGGAAACCGUCUGGCUAGAGUCCGGAAGAGGAGAGUGGAAUUCCUGGUGUAGCGGUGAAAUGCGCAGAUAUCAGGAAGAACACCCGUGGCUAAGGCGGCUCUCUAGUACGGUACUGACGCUGAGACGCGAAAGCGUGGGAGCGAACA